ensembl:ncRNA M60.11 ncRNA
AUUAAAAACCAUUCAAAACACCAUGAAAUGUUGAAAAAAAUCACUCAUCACCUGUCUAUGUUUACUCAAAUCAGUGAUGUUUUUACUAACGGAGCACAACAUAUGACGUGGUCGUGCUUUCGGUUCCUCAAGUGGAUAAAGAUCCC